rnacentral:lncRNA from 1 species
GGUGUGAAGGAGGUUCUAUGUUCGAAUCCUGGCAUGGGCAUUAUUAUUGCUCGUGUGUCCAGGAGAGUUUGAGAUGGACUAAAAAUCUGAGUAGUGGGUUUAGUGGGGAGUUUGAUGGAGAGAAAUAAGGGAUUGGGGUGGUUAUCAAAUAUUCUGUUCAUCUUUUUUUCUUUUUUUUACUUUCCCCAAAAUCCCUCUAUCCUCUUUUCAUUUUUAUCUUCAUUGCUGUUGAAUUUCUGAUCUCUUUCACCCUUCAUCUUCUUGAUUUUUCUUUUCCCACUUUGCCUCGUGUCGCUCCACGUUUGUCUGGGAUCGUUUGGUAAGUUUUAGAUAAGUGAUUUGUCUCAGUUUGUUAACUUUCUUCUAAAGUUUUUUGUUUAUGUCAAUUAGGGGAGGAUUCAAGGGCUCGUAAUCACCAAUCGGAGUCUUAGUUUGUGUGGGAAUUACUAUUCAUCGGUUGAAGGUAAGGUUUAGUUGCUUAUGGGUUAAAACCUCGAUA